rnacentral:rRNA from 1 species
GGGGAAUAUUGGACAAUGGGCGAAAGCCUGAUCCAGCAAUGCCGCGUGAGUGAUGAAGGCCUUAGGGUUGUAAAGCUCUUUUACCCGGGAUGAUAAUGACAGUACCGGGAGAAUAAGCCCCGGCUAACUACGUGCCAGCAGCCGCGGUAAUACGUAGGAGACGAGCGUUGUCCGGAGUUACUGGGCGUAAAGGGUGCGCAGGCGGCCAUGCGCGUCGCGAGUGAAAUCUCCCGGCUCAACUGGGAGGGUGGUCGCGAGACGGGGUGGCUUGAGGCUCGGUGAGAGGCGUGGAAUUCCGGGUGGAGCGGUGAAAUGCGUAGAGAUCCGGAGGAACACCAACGGCGAAGGCAGCGCCCUAGACGAGACCUGACGCUCAGGCACGAAAGCUCGGGGAGCGAAC